rnacentral:lncRNA from 1 species
GAUUUUAGAAUCUCCUGAGGCAAAACUGCUUCUGGGUGGGUUGCUCCCUCCCCACCCCAACUCCCAGCUUAGGAAUGUUAGUGACUGUGCUUGGAAGUCUAGAAAAGAAGGGAUUGUUUUACCCCUGGGAUCAGUAUUGCUAUUUUGAAAUUUGUUUCUAGAUGGAAUGUUCUAUAAUACAGUCUCCUAGGCAUACACUUCUAGCUGGGUGUGGUCUCAAAGCCUAUACUAAGGAGGACAAGACCAGCCUAGGCUAUAGGAGACCAUGACUCAAAACAAUUAUUUUUCACUUUCAAAACCCUACCAAGUGUUUGGAUCGGUUGCUAGGCCCCAAAUCUCAUUAAGAGAUUUUUAAAGCACUUUUGAAAUUUAGAUUGAUAAAUUUUAUGUGUCUUUUUGCCUAUACAUAUUAUUUUUUCCUGAACGUAUGUGCAUUUGUGAGUGCCUGCUCUACUUGGACAUAGGAGGAGGCCAGAUCCCCAGAGACUGGAAUUACAGAGGAUUAUGAACCACCAGGUGGGUGCUGGGAAUCAAACUCACGGCCUAUGUGUGAGAAACAAAUGCUUUAAACCACUGAGCCAACUCACUUUAAGCCCAAAAUCUACUUUAAAACCAAAAGAACUUCUUGACAGCCUAAGCAGUUCAACAAGUCUACGCGCAGAGAGGCAGUAGAAACAAGAGAAGAUCAAGACUGGACCCUGAAGCACCAGGAACUGACUAAGGUGCACAAUUUACACACCAAAGCAGAGCUGGCCUCCAGGUUCCCCAGCGUCCCCCUCAGUCCCUACCUGGCAUACCCUGCCCCCAACAGGGAACUUUCCAGCCCAGGUGCUUGUCCGCCCUCCCCCAAGAGUCUCCUCCCAAUAUAAUCCAGACAUUUAGUCUCUGCCCUUCUCUCUCUUUCUCUCCUUCUCUUCUUUCUCCUCCAGUGCUCCCUUUUGCUCCCCCACCCCCACCCCCAUGGCAAUCCCAUGGCCUCAAUCCCUGGGGUCAGUGAACCUGCCCGCCUGAGAGCAGCAUCCCAAUAAACCUGUCUUCAGGUACUCCA